rnacentral:pre_miRNA from 1 species
UAAGUACUCCCUCUGUCCCAAAAUUCUUGUCUUAGAUUUGUCUAGAUACAGAUGUAUCAAGUCACAUUUUAGUAUUAGAUACAUCCGUAUCUAGACAAAUCUAAGACAAGAAUUUUGGGACAGAGGGAGUAUUUG